UUUAUCUAACUCUUUGGACCAUGGGAUCAAGAGAGGGAGAACAGAGAUAUCUUGGCCUACCACGGACAAUAACGGGAAGUAGAGGAGGCACACAGAGGAAGAGAGUGGAACGAAUUAAACGGCGAUAGAGUAAUCGGAGGAAGGAUUAUUUUGGGUACUCGGCCUUGACCAUAGGGAGCUCCUCAGACCGAGUUUCAGCUUCUUCAAGGAGUCGAUAUCGCACUCAGCUUCGCUGAGCUCUGGCCUGUCGGAACGGUCGCCAUUCCCUGGCACUACGUUUCCCUGAUUGCCUCCGACGAAUGUGGUCUCCGCGACCGAUAUCGGCGGUAAUAAUGUGCGUAGAGAGCUCCUGCUGGGAACAUGCCAUCUUACGGGACAGCCAAAGAAAUGAACUUACUACGGAUCGUCCUCUUCGAGGAAGUGACUUCUGCUCUGACAUGGGCGAGAUGUCUGAAGAAGUGCUCGACGUACCGUGAUAAAUGAAAUCGGAAACGGCCCGAACUAGAAGUAAAAUUUUAUUACUAAGGUAUUAUCUUAUGAACGAGUUGGAUAGAUGAUUACGCAUACUGUGUUUGAGUUUGCCCGCGUCCAGUUGGUUGGAAGACUCUGUGCGAGAGCUCGUCAACUGAUCCGGGUCAGACUCGCUCUCGUCGGUCUCGACAUCGCCCGGAGUUUGUUGCUUUCUCUGCUGUCGUCUCCUCGAAGAAACGCUCUUCAUGCUCUGUGAAUAUAACACGAUAUCAGAGUGUUGUUCGGGUGGAGGCCGGCUGCUGAAGCUUCCGCCGCGCCUCCCAGUCCUCCCAACCCUCCCAACCCUGCCAGGCUUCCCCCGCCACCCUCCGAAAGCUGGAACGUAGCGUACGGCGAGAUGUCCUCCGCUGUCUCUGUAACCCACCAGAGGCAUUGCCUACCUUUCAAAUCGCGUUGGGAUGAAUUUUUUAU
rnacentral:misc_RNA from 1 species